rnacentral:misc_RNA from 1 species
GGGGCAAGCUGCUUUCCCAGUGCUCGCAGUACCCUCACAGGGAAAUGCGUGGCACACUUUUUACUGUUGGUCAAAACUGUAGUUGCGAUUUAGUGCUCAAUGAUCCAUCCAUCAGUGGCAUUUUGUGUAAACUAAGACAAUUAGAGAAUGGAGGUGCAUCUGCUGCCUUAUUGGAAGUCACUGGAUGUAAAGGAGCAGUCCAAGUUAAUGGUAAACUCUUACAAAAACCAGGCAUGAUAGUGAUUAAUGGAGGCGAUGAAGUGGUAUUCAGUUCUUCUGGCAAACAUGCUUAUAUUUUUCAGCAGCUGACCAAUGAUAGCUCAAGUGCUCCAGGUUCAGUAAAUAUCUUAGAAGCUCGAGGUGCCCCACUAAAAGGGCUUCAGAUUGAAGCAAGAUCCGGUGAUCCCUCGGCUUUUGCAGGAGCAUCAAUACUGGCCUCUUUAUCUGAUUUUCAAAAAGAUUUAUCUCUUCUAUCGCCUCCUGCCAAAGCUGGUGAGGAUAUUCAUCAAAAUACUGAUAUUUCCACUGUACCUUCUGUUUGUGGACCACCUGAUGAUUGCAUUCCUCAAGAUGACAUGAAGGAUAGCACAAGUAAUAAUGAGCUGCCUAGCUUAUCUUCGAGGGAAAAAACUAUUGUUCCAUCCUCUAAUUCAGCGUCAAAAUCCUAAUCUUGAUAGUGUUGGACCGGAUGCUACAGUUGAUGCAGGAAACAGAAAGAUUGCUGGGUCAGCCUAUGAAUUAAGGCCUCUCUUUCGGAUACUUGCAGGUUCUCCUGAAUUUGAUUUAAGUAGCAUUUCCAAAAUACUUGAUGAGCGAAGGGAAAUAAGAGAACUCCUCAAUGUUCUAGAUCCUCCAACAAUUCUGAUGUCAACCAGACGGCAGGCAUAUAAAGACAGUUUACAAAAGGGAAUUCUAAAUCCUGAAGGCAUUGAUGU